rnacentral:rRNA from 1 species
CAGUCGCCGCGGUAAUACGAAGGUCCCAAGCGUUGUUCGGAAUCACUGGGCGUAAAGCGCACGCAGGCGGUUUGUUAAGUCAGAUGUGAAAUCCCCGAGCUUAACUUGGGAACUGCAUUUGUGACUGGCAAGCUAGAGUCUGGCAGAGGGGGGUGGAAUUCCGCGUGUAGCAGUGAAAUGCGUAGAUAUGCGGAGGAACACCGAUGGCGAAGGCAGCCCCCUGGGCCAACACUGACGCUCAUGCACGAAAGCGUGGGGAGCAAACAGGAUUAGAUACCCCAGUAGUCCCUGUCUCUUAUAC